GAAUCCUCCAAGCAUGAAGAGAGCAAGGAUUUUGUUAUCAGGAAAUGGGGAGCUCUGGGUGGUGUGUUUCCAGAAGCUUCAGUCAGUAACAGGGCAGAUGGUGGAAUGUGACCAGGCUUGGCCUUGGUCAGACCUGGGCUUGAGUCCUGACUGCCCCACACGCUAGCCCUGUGUGGGUGGCCCAGAGGACUUGACUUCUCAGUGCCUUACCUUUCUUUCUUUUCCUUCUUUUCGGUGCUGGGGAUUGAACCCAGGGCCUUGUGCUUGUGAGACAAGCACUCUACCCACUGAGCUAUAGCCCCAGCCCCUCAAUGCUUUAUCUUUCUUGUCUAUUAAAUGGGGAUGGCACCUGCCUCGGGAUCAUUCUGUUGAUUAAAUGACGUGAGGUUCUUAGCACAGCACCUGGCAUGUCAUUAGGGGGUGAAGGCCAUUAUUAGUUGGCUGUGACCUUGGCAGAAAGGUCACGUGUGGCAUAGCCCUGCAACUUCCUGGUGCAGCUGGGGCCUGUGGACCCUAGGACUUCACUGCCUGUUCCUCCAUGGACCAAAGGGAGCCGCAGAGAACCUGCCUAGCCUGAGGGAGGCUCUGAGUUCAGUCUCCACACCAAAGGGAGGACCAGUGGAGAGGGAGUACAAAGACAGUUCACAGAGAGGCGGAGACACCUGUCUAGGGCAGCCCAGCCACAGAGGAGCUGGGUCUUGGCGCAGUGGCAGUGGCAGGCGUGGAGGCGGAAGACAGGGCCUGGAUGUGGGGCUGCAGGUGAAGGAUCAACCUGGUCCCUGGCCUUUGCAGCUCGGAGGUGGUGGGCAGAGUCCUCGGAGGGGGAGCAGUGUGGGAGCAGGUUUGGACAGAGAGGCACGCAGGUGGGUGGAUUCCUGGGUUACACCGGAGUCAAGGAGCCUGUGGCACAUUGGGUAGAGGUGCCUAGGGCAUGACUUCUGGGGAGAAGCAGUGAAGAGCUGGCACCGGAGCCCUGCGCUUCAGCCCCAGGUUAGCACUGGUGCCUUGACACAGAUCCUAGCGGAGCCUCCAGUGGUCUUGGCCCACCUUCUUUCCACUGUCUGUCCGUCUGUGUCUCCCCCUCCCUCCCUCUCUCCUGCCUUCCUCACACACUGGAUGUGAUUCCCUGCCCGUCCUUGACCAUCUUGGCUGUAAAAUGAGGCAGGGGCACAUGCUGCCAGCUGUGGGCUUCAGCCCUGCCCUUCUAGAAUCCUGGGUAACCUCUAGGGUCUAAAAGCCAGGAGCCCUGUGGACACUGGAGGUGAGAGAGGCAGCGCCUGGUAGCGGUGGCCUUGGCAGCAGAGAGACCUUGCUGCACGCAUGGCUGACAGCUUGAGGAACAAGUGAGCGGGGGCCAAAUGGGACAUCUAGGUGGCUGCGCGGUGGUAGAGCUGCCUUAAAUGCUUUCUGGGAUCAAAGGCAUAGAAUGGGGGAGCGUGGAUGGACAGGAUGGAUAGAUGCCCUCUGGCACAGCCUUCAGUGCAGGAAAACCAUGCUGUGCUGCCUGGCUCUUCCUCACAGUGGCUGCCCCCCUGCCCUGGCCUCCUGUGUGGGGGAAGGGCUUCAGGAAGAGGCUGAGAGGAAGGCAGGGGGCAGCAUUUCCUGAGGGCUUCCGGAAGCAGGGGCGCAUGGGAAGCAGCAACUCAUCCUGGCUCCUGCAGCUCCCCGUUCCUACCAAGCCUGCUGUGAAAACACUGGUUUUUCAUUAUUUCUGGCCCCCCCUCACCCUAUCCUGCCACUUGAUCAAAAUCAAGGUUGGGGGGGGGGGCGGCUGGGGUUGUGGCUCCGUGGUAGAGCACUCGCCUAGCGCCUGUGAGGCCCGGGGUUCCAUCCUCAGCACCACCUAAAAAUGAAAACAAAAUAAGGGUAUUGUGUCUCUCUACAACUAAAAAUACUAAAUAAAACCAGGGUUCCUCUCUGUACUCACCCCACCCCCACAGCUUCCCCAGGCAGGUGCUGAGAGGCCUGUGGUCACGGCUGGGUGCCCUUCAGGGUGCAAGCCCUGCCCCUGCCCCUUAACCUGGAGAUUCAGGCACACGGCUGAACCUCUCUGAGUUUCUGCUUCCUCAUCAGGCAAGCGGAGCCAGUCAUUCUCCCACCUGAGCCUUUCCAAGUCCCAGCUCCUGACCCUCUGGAGGCUGCUGGCAGGGGUGUGGUGCUCACUCAUGUCCACACAGGGCUGUGUCACCUGGGGGAGGCGUGCCCCAGCUAACCUCUGCUCUCCUGGCAGGAAGAAGCAGCUCCCAGAGCUCCAAGGUGCGCAAGUCUCACUUUAUGUCUGACAGGAAGAACUGCCUGGCCCACAGCACCUCGUGGGUGGUCGUCACCUGGGAAGCUGUGUGACAACCUUUCCGGUCACCCAGUCCUCUCCCUGAGAGGUGACCCAGCUGUGUUAGGAAGGCUUAGGAACCGCUUCCACUCCACCUGCCAAGGGGCCAGGUGGACACUGAUGGGGAGAAGGGAGGGCUCGAGUGGCCUGUAACCCCAGGUCCCCCCUCAACCACAGCCAAGCAUAAUCGGGGCUUGCUGCGUACACGGACCCCACGCCAGGUCCUCUGGGCCCCUUUGCUCUCCUAUAGAGCAACAGGAGCCCAACCCUCAGGGCCCAGAAGACCACAUUUUCACUAAACUUCAAUCCUGCGGCCUUGCUGGGAAAACCCCAGCACUAAUAAUACGUACCAUGUUUGGAAGGGAGAUGGGAUGUCCCCAGAAGACCAAGGCUGGAAGCUUGAGACUGCCUGCCAGGGUUGGCCUUCGCAUGGUGGGGCAGUGCCUCAGUGCUGUGGAGCUGGUGCUCGUGGCAGGGAAAUAUCUUAGUGGUGAAGAAAGUUCUUUAUGAGCUCAGAAAGAGCUAGGCUGAGUUGUCACUGCACCUGUGACAGCUGUGUGUCUUCCUGCAGGCUAUUUAGCCUCUCUGAGCCACACCUUCGUUAGCAAAUGGAUGUAAUAUGAGACUAGUUCAAAGAACUAGGAGGAAUCAACAGGUAAUUCACCGUGAGGAGAAGCAGCCCAGCUCAGCUCGGGAGGACGGCUGUUGCAGGGAGGGUUUAGCUGUGUGUCUUGUGAGCAUCUCACAGUCCAGUGGGUACAGAUUCCUGCGCACCAUAUGUACUGGACCAUGUGAGCGGCCCGCGCAGGCUUCGUGGUGGAAGGGUUCAGGGGAGAGGCCUUUCUGAAGCCCUGUACACUGUGCCCAAGCCUCCAUCAUAUCCCUGGUCUUGUCUUCCUGUGAUGGUUGGUUGUGAUUGUCACACACAUCUCCCACACUGGCCACCAGUCCCUCCAGGACAGACGGUGGGACUUCUCAUGCACUCAGCACUGGCUUCCCCUUGGGGCUGCAUUUAAUUCUGAGGGUGGGAUUCUGAGGGAGCUGUCUGGGGAGCCUUGGGGGAGGAGGCCAUGUCUGGCCAGGUCUUGAGCCAGUGUGCAGUUUGGAAGAGCAGCAGUGGGACAGGCGGAGGCUCAACAGCAGCUGCAGCCAGGUGGAGGGGUUCAGGCUCCUCUUCCAAGAGUCUCUGUGACCCUGAGCGAACACCUCCCCUACCUGGCCUUAGGGUCUCCUCCCAGAACAUGGAAGGGGCUUUGCUAGAUAAGGGAAUAUGCCAGAUCUGGCAUUUUAGUAGCUUCUUUGACUUGACCCCGUCUUGAGACAGUUCCAGAGACAAAGCCCAAGUAUCUCCCAGCUCCGCAGGCUUGCUCCUUCCCAGUGACAGGCAGCACGUGGCCCUCUGUUCUCCAGGGCUUAGUUGGAGGAUUUUUUUUUUUUUCCCUUUAAGAGGGAAGGGGCAAGCCCCAGUACCAGGAGGAUUUUGUAGAAUGUGUACAUGUAGGGGCAGGAUGGUCUGGGGAGAGAGGCUGAGGACAGCCGCCUGUCUUCAGACAUAGCUGGGAUUCCAGGUGGUGGCAGUCCAGACUCGGGACCACCUCUGCUCAGCGAGGCAGAUGCCACUCCUGCCCCUGAGCUGCCCACAACUUCCACUGGUCCUCGCCCUGGCUGGAGAGGCCCUAUAAUGGUCCCAUUGUCCACCACCCUGCCAGGCUGCCCUAGGGUACAGCUCAGAGCCUGGGCAGCGCUCAUUCCCAGGGAGCAGCCUGGUGAAGAAGCAGAGUGGUCAGACCCACAGAAGUCAUGGCCCUUGGGAAUCCUAAACCAAGAAUCCUGGAGUCCGACCCUCAAAGACGCUUAGAAAAAUGCAGCCCUGGAUUAGAAGCCACAGGUGCCGCGGCUCCAGUCUGUCCAGCCCUGACAUGUGGCCUGCGCAUACAGGCCUACCCUCAUCUAUUUCUCAUCAUAAAAGUCAUACUUGGUCCUCCCUGAGGUCCCCGGAUUUCUCUCUAUCCAGUGAUCUGCCUGGGGCCCUGAUAUGGAGUAGGUAAUUUUUUUUUUCUUGUUUAGAACUGGUUUUAAAUCAGACACAUCUUUCUUUCUUUCUUUUUGGUACCAGGGAUUGAACCUUAACCAUUGAGCCACAUUCCCACCCCUUUUUAUUUUUUACUUAGGGACAGGGUCUCACUAAGAUGCUUAGGGCCUAAAUUGCUGAGGCUGACUUUGAACUUGUGAUCCUCUUGUCUCAGCCUCCCAAGCCCUAGGGAUUACAGGCAGGCACUAUCAUGCCUGGCUUGAAAUGCUUUUUUAAAAUGAACAAGUGCUUACUAGUAUAACCAGAGCAGAAGUUUAAAAAUUAACUAGUGGUAAAUAUACUACAAUUCUCCCUAACAUGAGUAGGCAAUUUGGAGAGGCAGAAAGUAGAAUCGUGGCCGUGGGGACUGGGAGAGGACCCGGGAGUUACUGAUUAGUGGGUUACUGAUUAGCUGGGAAAGAAAAGAAAGUUCUGGAGAGGGCUGGUGGUGUCUGCUACACGAUGAUGUGAACGCGCUUGCUCACCCACUGCUCACCACCAUGGAACUGUGUGCAUUGGUGUGGAGAAAAUGGCAAAUUCUAUGUCAUAUAUAUUUUCCCACAAUAAAAAUAAAAAAAAUAGUAAAAAAAAAAGUUAUAUUAGUUAGUUAUGCUAAGUGAAAAAGCCAGACACAAAGACCGCAUUGUGGAUGUUGGAGUCCAUUUAUAUGAACUGCUCAGGACAGGCAGAUUCGCAGGGACAGAAGACAGAUCACUGGGCAUCAGAGGCAGGGAAUUGGGAGUGAGUACUCCUAGGAACAUAGUUUGCAGGGUGACGAGAAUGCUCUAAGAUUUAAUAGUGGUAAUGGUUGCACAAGUCUAUAAAUACAGGAAAAACAACUGAACAGUCUGCUUUAAAAUCAUAAAUGUUGGAGUAGCAAGAGCAACCAUUACAGGAGCCAGAGCUGCCUAUUAAGCUCGAUCAAGACGACAACCUUCCAAAAGCAUCGAGACUUUGUGGCAGAGCCUAUGGGGGAAAGCCAGUGGGGAGCCUGGCUGGGAUUGUGAAGUCCUGGGCAAGAAGCUGGAGGAAAGGGGCUUUGACAAGGCAUAUGUUGUCCUCGGGCAGUUUCUGGUGCUAAAGAAAGAUGAAGACCUCUUCUGAGAAUGGCUGAAGGAUACAUGUGGUGCCAAUGCCAAGCAGUCCAGGGACUGCUUUGGGUGCCUUCGAGAAUGGUGUGACGCCUUCUUGUGAUGUUCUCUGGGGAGCCCUCAAUCCCUAGCCCCAUUAUCAAGUCUCCAGAGUUUGCAGCUGAGUGGGGGCUCCUGGUCCUCUACAAAGGAAAAGAUUGCUGUUGUCUACUCCAGGGUCUUUGGGAGUUCUCUCCCCUCACCAUUUCAAUUUUUUUGGAAGUUUUGCUCUUGCCUGCAACUCCCUUUCUCUUUCCCCUGCCAGUUCCGUGGAAACCAUUAACCAGCUUUUCUGAUUGGAUUCCUGGCCCCUGCCCUUACCCCCACCUUCACCUCUGGUCUGUUUGAUGCCAUUUGUCACCUUUUUUGGCAUAACAGUCACUGUCCUUGUAAAGUUUUUUAGAUCAAUAAAGACAGUGGCCUUCAAAAAAAUAAAAAUAAAAAAUAAUCAAAUAAAAAAAUGUCAAAAAAAAAA
rnacentral:lncRNA from 1 species